rnacentral:rRNA from 1 species
AGUGAACGCUGGCGGUAGGCCUAACACAUGCAAGUCGAACGGCAGCACAGUAAGAGCUUGCUCUUACGGGUGGCGAGUGGCGGACGGGUGAGGAAUACAUCGGAAUCUACUUUUUCGUGGGGGAUAACGUAGGGAAACUUACGCUAAUACCGCAUACGACCUACGGGUGAAAGCAGGGGAUCUUCGGACCUUGCGCGAUUGAAUGAGCCGAUGUCGGAUUAGCUAGUUGGCGGGGUAAAGGCCCACCAAGGCGACGAUGCGUAGCUGGUCUGAGAGGAUGAUCGGCCACACUGGAACGGAGACACGGUCCAGACUCCUACGGGGGGCAGCAGUGGGGAAUCUUGCGCAAUGGGCGAAAGCCUGACGGAGCAACGCCGCGUGGGUGAAGAAGGCCUUCGGAUCGUAAAACUCUUUUAUUGGGAAAGAACAAAUGUGUAAGAACCCCCGCUCGUCUUGACGUUACCUAAGAAGAAAGCCCCGGCUAACUACGUG